AGCCAGACCCUGCUAAUCGAUCAGGGCAUAGACUCAUACGAGAAUAUUUGAAGAAGAUACAUAGGCGUACAUCAAUUUCAGCCUCCUGCAGGACCCAUCACAUCCUUCACAUGACCUUUUCACUCUCCUGCCACCCAAGAGAAGAUGCUGCAGCAUCACUGCCAGGCUGCCACACGCUGACCCUUAAGCAUACCCCGUGCUUCACACUUUGUCUCUGUGACAUGGGGCAAUGAAAAGAAUUCCAUUUA